UACGUAGGCAGCGAGCGUUGUCCGGAAUUAUUGGGCGUAAAGGGCUCGUAGGCGGUCUGUCGCGUCGGGAGUGAAAACUCAGGGCUUAACCCUGAGCCUGCUUCCGAUACGGGCAGACUAGAGGUAUGCAGGGGAGAACGGAAUUCCUGGUGUAGCGGUGGAAUGCGCAGAUAUCAGGAGGAACACCGGUGGCGAAGGCGGUUCUCUGGGCAUUACCUGACGCUGAGGAGCGAAAGUGUGGGGAGCGAACAGG
rnacentral:rRNA from 1 species